CAUCAAGAGCUGGCAGAGGGAUUGGCCCGAUGAUGCCGCAGCAACCUUCAGUAAUGAAAGGUGCUAAUUCCAACAGUUGACGUACUGGAAGAUG
rnacentral:ncRNA from 1 species